rnacentral:rRNA from 1 species
CCAGCGAAUGAUGCAGGUGGAUAUUAGUCCUCCAUCAGGAGACGGAUUACUUGAGAAGGUACACAGCCGCUGGACCAGAUAGGUUGUCUCCAUCNCGCAUGGCUACAUGCCGUCGCUCGUGGGUCUGGCCUGGUUACUGCCGGGUUGAGCUUGCGAGUCGGUCUCGUGGUUGUGCUUCCUUUCUGCUGUGUCUGUUUACAGGUGUCAGCGUGACUGGUGGGCUUGCCUGCUAGUCUGUUGGCAUGCUUCUUGGUGCCUUUAAUCGGGUGUCGGAGGCGGACAGCACGUUUACUUUGAACAAAUUUGAGUGCUCAAAGCAGGCCUUUGUGCCUGAAAAUUCUUGCAUGGAAUAAUGGAAUAGGACUUCGGUUCUAUUUUGUUGGUUUUCGGAUCCGAAGUAAUGGUUAAGAGGGACAGACGGGGGCAUUUGUAUGGCGGUGUUAGAGGUGAAAUUCUUGGAUCGCCGCCAGACAAACUACAGCGAAAGCAUUUGCCAAGGAUGUUUUCAUUGAUCUUGAGCGAAAGUCAGAGGUUCGAAGACGAUCAGAUACCGUCCUAGUUCUGACCAUAAACGAUGCCAACUGACGAUCCGUGGUGGUUCUUUAUGUGUCCCCACGGGCAGUCCCCGGGAAACCCUUAAGUCUUUGGGCUCCGGGGGAAGUAUGGUUGCAAAGCUGAAACUUAAAGGAAUUGACGGAAGGGCACCACCAGGAGUGGAGCCUGCGGCUUAAUUCGACUCAACACGGGAAAACUCACCCGGCCCGGACACUGUGAGGAUUGACAGAUUGAUAGCUCUUUCUUGAUUCGGUGGUUGGUGGUGCAUGGCCGUUCUUAGUUGGUGGAGCGAUUUGUCUGGUUAAUUCCGAUAACGAACGAGACUCUGGCCUGCUAAAUAGUAUGCCUGUCCUCUGUGCUCGUGCAGGUUGCGUUGUCCAUUGCCUCCUCGUGGGGUAGUGGUUACGUUGACCGGCGGGUGCGGCGCAGGUACUUACUUCUUAGAGGGACAAGCGGUAUUCAGUCGCACGAAAUUGAGCAAUAACAGGUCUGUGAUGCCCUUAGAUGUCCGGGGCCGCACGUGCGCUACAAUGACGGUUUCAGCGAGUUUGGAAUCCUGGCCUGAGCAGGUUGGGUAAACUGUAUCAUAACCGUCGUGACUGGGAUCGGGGCUUGCAAUUGUUCCCCGUGAACGAGGAAUUCCUGGUAAGUGCAAGUCAUAAGCUUGCGCUGAUUACGUCCCUGCCUCGUGGCAUAGACCGCCCGUCUUUUCUCGGGCAAUAAACUGUCUGACUUGGAAUACUUGGAGGAUAUUUUUCUUCUGAGUGGAGAUCCAGGUAAGUUGCAAGCUCUCUUAGAUAGCCUUAACAACAGUGUAGCAAUGUUUGGGAUGCG